ACACUUUUCUGGAGAAAUACCAUGCCAUAAAAAUGGUUUUCCCAGGGGGAGGCUCAUUCAUUGCACUUUGGGUGUGCUGCUGAUCCCUGUGAUUUCCCUAAAUGUGGGGAACUCAGCUGCAUAAUUUAUGUUAAUAAGAAGAUUACAUUUAUGAUUUUUCUUU
rnacentral:snRNA from 1 species